ensembl:lncRNA
UCCUGCCCCAAAAACCCCAGCGGAGACCAGCCUGACACUCCCAUGACGUUCCUGACCAGUGAAGGCCUGGCCUGUGCAGAUUUAUGGAGUGCCUUACUCUCCUAUUUGGGCUGAGACUUUGAGUCAGACUGCUAGAAGUUGCACAAGAUUAAGAAGAAAAUUAGAUCUGGUCUUUUCUGGUCCAGCAAGCUCCAAGCUACUCAUCAUAAACCAUCAAUUAUGCUGGAGAUGUAUAAAGAAAAUUGAUAAGCAGGUGACAAGUCUGUGUGUAAACUGGCUGAGCGGAAGAUGUUAAAGCCCCCUUGCAGGAAGAGGCAUGUGGACCACUGACAUGCAGGGUUUUGGCUCUACACUAAUGAGACAUACUUUCAGAAAACAGGUUCAAGCAACGUGUAAAACAAUCAAGGACAAUAUCAAAUGAGGACAAGGGCUGACGUCAGAGGAAAUGUAACUGGCAAUGUAAAAGACGGUGGGAUAUUUGGGGAAAACUAUAUUUAAGGCAACAAAAGUGGGUUAUAUUAUUUCUACGUUUUUUUUCUAUGACUCCUAAAUUUAUUCACAUCCCCUGAGUCAGGCCUGUGAUCUGCCUUUGGAGAAAAGCAGGUCACAUUAUACAACCAGGAAGUGGCCUGCCAAUGUCCUGCAGCUUGUUUAUGAAGACAUCCUGUUACCAGGGUGAUAGGGUCCUGUCUGGGAGCGUCUUCAUUAGUGGUCACACAUGGUAGGCACAGGCAUUCUGUUCAUUC